rnacentral:rRNA from 1 species
UACAGAGGUGGCAAGCGUUGUUCGGAAUUACUGGGCGUACAGGGCGUGUAGGCGGUCGCCUAAGUCAGACGUGAAAUCCCCAAGCUUAACUUGGGAACUGCGUCUGAUACUGGGUGGCUUGAGUUCGGGAGAGGAAUGUGGAAUUCCAGGUGUAGCGGUGAAAUGCGUAGAUAUCUGGAGGAACACCGGUGGCGAAGGCGGCAUUCUGGACCGAAACUGACGCUUAAGCGCGAAAGCCAGGGGAGCAAACGGG